UCUCAGUGUGUCCAGAAAGAGAAGCCCCAGCACAACUCCAAAUCUGAGAAGUGCAACUGCAAGUCUUUCUAUGAGUCCUGGGACUUCUUUGAGCAGGAGCAGCUCCAGCUUGGGAGAGGCUAUGUUUACUAGGCUGGUUACGCUUCUUGAGGAGGUUAGAGAAACACAAAAACUACACGGACAGUUGUUGAGUACCUUGCUGAGACAGAAAUCUGCUUCACCACCGGUUGAACCACCUGAAGGAGCUGUUUUUCCAAUGUGCACAAUCAAUGAUGUCCUGGGCAUGAAUGAGAAGCUGGGUGACUCAGACUUCAUGUCUGGAGUUGUUGCCAUGGUUGCAGAAAUUAGAGGAGCAUCCUUGGAUGACGCAAUACGACGGGCUAUGCGAUUCCUGAUGUCCCAUGAAUUAGCAGUCCAGUUCAACCUGUUUGGCCGACAUGGGAAACACCAGUUCCGGGACCUGCGUCUCUUUGAUGUUGUGUAUGGGGCACUUAAAAGAAAUGGUUCCAUCGUUGGACUCACACAUAAAGAUGCGGAAAAGGCACUCUCAAAGUGGUUCACUGGAGCCCGUGACAGGGGUGGGAAUAGGAGAGUUAGAGCAAGUAGGGAGGCUGCCAAUUCUCACUCUGGUGGGCAGGUCUUCCAAGAAGGACAGUUACAAUAAUAUGCAAGCUUUCAAGUGUAAGCAUGCAUGUAGGUUAUUCUAAAAGGUUUUGUGAAAGGUGUGUGUAUGUACCAGUAAACAAGUUUGUUGUUCAAAAAUGCCAUGUGAACAAUUUUGUAGAUUUUAAAUUUUUUUUGUUGUUGUUGUUUAAGAGCGCCAUUUGUGCUUGUGGCACCGUUUGCUUUGUUAAUUAAGUUCUAAUAAUUGCUGAGGUAUAAAAUAACUUCUGAUUACAAAAUAAACAGCCUUGACCAAAGGAAA